rnacentral:rRNA from 1 species
UACGAAGGGGGCUAGCGUUGCUCGGAAUUACUGGGCGUAAAGCGCACGUAGGCGGCUCUUUAAGUCGGGGGUGAAAUCCUGGAGCUCAACUCCAGAACUGCCUUCGAUACUGAAGAGCUUGAGUCCGGGAGAGGUGAGUGGAACUGCGAGUGUAGAGGUGAAAUUCGUAGAGAUUGGGUGGAACACCAGUGGCGAAGGCGCCUGCCUGGCUGACAACUGACGCUGAGACUCGAAAGCAUGGGGAGCAAACAGG